rnacentral:pre_miRNA from 1 species
CCUCCACCCAUGUGUGUAGGACCCCAAAAGAUCACCAUUAAAUUUGACAUGGAUCUUUAGAAAAGUUAUCACAUGGGUGUGGGAUUUGACUUUUUUUAGAGAUCCAUGCCAACUUUAAUGGUGAUCCUUUGGGGCCCUACACACAUACGUGGAGG